GAAACCUAACGCGAUGGGAGUAUACACUUAAUUCAUGCACUUCAUCCUUUUCAAGCACACUCUAAAUAAGGGAUGCCUUCUCUAAUUCGCGCUAUAUUUAGUCAGUGGCAGUCUGUCACCUUGAAGGCUAAAGGGCAUGUCUACCCAUGCUCUUAAGCGUUUUCCAGGGGCCGGAAGUCAGGGAUAUUAGAGAUGGGACCUUCGGAGACACCAGCCCCCACUUCCAAACUAGGGGUCGGGUGGGUAGAGGCCGCCAGCUCCGCUUCGCCCCAAUUCCACAUGCGGCGAACACGUGGUAGCCGCUGCAAUGCGGGGCGCGCGCUCCCGGCGGCCGGACGCGAGCACGCGGGGCGGGGUCGCCCACUUGAGGUUUUUCCAGGCGACGGGACUAAAGAGGAGGAAGCAGUGCCCUCCCCGCGCCGAUCUCAAAACUGCCUCGAGCCCCCGCCCUUCUCGAUUUCUGGAACCUUCCGCAUGCCGGGGCGCGCCGCCGGAUGAGGAGCGGAGAAAGGGGGAGGGGAGCGGGGCCGCACAUUGCAAACUCGCGGCGCCACGAGGGAAGCGCGCGGCCGCUGCCAUGCCCACCGCCGCCGGAGACGGCCUCGACCACCCCCAGCGCCACUGCCCUCCGCCCUUCCCUCCUCCGAGUCCCCGUCGGCUCACCUGGGUGACCUUCCCCUACAGACUCGGAAGUGAAGAGGAACGUCCCCUCCUCAAUGAACGCCUCGUGGAAGCCGUUGAGCUGCCCGUUCAUGGCGGCGGCGGUGAGAGAGGGCGACUCUGAGGAGACUGAGAGGCGGCGAGGCGGAGGGCUGCGGAAGACACAGAGGGAGGAUCGCUUCAGCUCUCGGCAGGCUGGAGACUCGGAGCGAACGGAGCGGCGGGCGAAGCGGCCCAGUAUUUAUAGAGCAGGGGGUCGCGCGCGCCCGGCUCGGGCUCCGCCCCUCGGCGUCGCGCGCCAAUGCGCCGCGGGCGGGCGGAUGGGGGUUGGCAGGGAGGUCCGCCGAGCCGAGCUCCGGCUGAACCAUUCUACCGAUGGGGGGGGCGAGCAGAGCUAACCGGGCCUCCUGCCAGUAGUUAGUCAUCUUGAUGGCGUGGGUUAAAUGGAGAUGUAAGUGAGUAGACUUGGGGUUUACGCCCAUCCCCACGUUGAUUGCUGGAGAAGAGAGGAUUUGGAUUUGAAGGACGGCCUCCCCUGUACGAGGGUAUGGUACAUCCCUCCGACCGUUGCCCACGGAGGUCUGCCGGCGCGCGCGCCUCCCAGCGGCGGCCGUGGCGGUGGCGGCCGUUUUGUGCUGUGGCUCUCGCCGAGGGUCUUUCCUGCCACCACCACCCUCCAUUCGCCACCUCGUGCACCAGCGCCGGGUGGCCCUCUGCCAUGUGAAGGUGGCCAUGUUGACUGGCCAGCGGAGGCUAAUAGGCACUGCCCUUAUCCAUCCUACACGGUUCCCUCCGGGGAACGAGAGAUUGUGAGGGGUUCUAGCCCUACCGUUAGUCAUGCCUCGAGUAACUGCUCUGGGGAAAAUGGCUGUAAAGCCAACUAGCAGGAAUGCUGUAUUGUUUUUCCGAACAAUUGCCACUUGCCGGCGGCCUCCCCUCCCCCCUCGCCGAGCCUCGUGGACCCCCGUAGUCUGAGACGGUACUAGAUUCUUUUCUAUCCUAAAUCUGACUUUGCAUGGCUUGGUUUUCCAUGCUUCCUAGGAAGAAAUGGACGUUCCAAUCUGUUCGAGAGAAUAUGAAUGCUUCUUUCGUGUGUGUAGGGGAGGGCGCUAUUCAAGCCUUCAAAUGUGCUUCAGAUGAGCUUGUCAAGGUCAAAUGGCCUCGAUUUUAUGACACUUUCUCUUUUAAACUUUUGCAGUUGUCUCAGUUUUGCUCAUGAAAUGAAUUAACAGACGGGGAAAAAAAGGGAAAUAAAACUCCAUACAGACAAAGA